AACGAACGCUGGCGGCAGGCUUAACACAUGCAAGUCGAGCGGGCGUAGCAAUACGUCAGCGGCAGACGGGUGAGUAACGCGUGGGAACGUACCUUUUGGUUCGGAACAACCCAGGGAAACUUGGGCUAAUACCGGAUAAGCCCUUACGGGGAAAGAUUUAUCGCCGAAAGAUCGGCCCGCGUCUGAUUAGCUAGUUGGUGAGGUAAUGGCUCACCAAGGCGACGAUCAGUAGCUGGUCUGAGAGGAUGAUCAGCCACAUUGGGACUGAGACACGGCCCAAACUCCUACGGGAGACAGCAGUGGGGAAUAUUGGACAAUGGGCGCAAGCCUGAUCCAGCCAUGCCGCGUGAGUGAUGAAGGCCCUAGGGUUGUAAAGCUCUUUUGUGCGGGAAGAUAAUGACGGUACCGCAAGAAUAAGCCCCGGCUAACUUCGUGCCAGCCGCCGCGGUAA
rnacentral:rRNA from 1 species